rnacentral:misc_RNA from 1 species
GAUGAAGAACGUAGCGAAAUGCGAUACGUAAUGUGAAUUGCAAAUUCAGUGAAUCAUCGAGUCUUUGAACGCACAUUGCGCCCCCUGGUAUUCCGGGGGGCAUGCCUGUCCGAGCGUCAUUGCUGCCCUCAAGCACGGCUUGUGUGUUGGGCCCCGUCCUCCGCUCCCGGGGGACGGGCCCGAAAGGCAGCGGCGGCACCGCGUCCGGUCCUCGAGCGUAUGGGGCUUUGUCACCCGCUCUGUAGGCCCGGCCGGCGCUUGCCGAUCAACCCAAAUUUUUAUCCAGGUUGACCUCGGAUCAGGUAGGGAUACCCGCUGAACUUAAGCAUAUCAAUAAGCGGAGGA